rnacentral:rRNA from 1 species
GAUAAACGCUGGCGGCGCACAUAAGACAUGCAAGUCGAACGAACUUAGGCUCAUUCUUUACGAUUGAGUACGGUUAGUGGCGGACUGGUGAGUAACACGUAAGCAACCUGCCUGCAAGAGGGGAAUAACAGUGAGAAAUCACUGCUAAUACCGCAUAUGCUCACAUUAGCACAUGCUAGAGUGAGGAAAGGAGCAAUCCGCUUGUAGAUGGGCUUGCGUCUGAUUAGCUAGUUGGUGGGGUAAAAGCCUACCAAGGCGACGAUCAGUAGCCGGACUGAGAGGUUGAACGGCCACAUUGGGACUGAGAUACGGCCCAG